ensembl:lncRNA
AGGCAGUACACACAGGUACAGACAAUACACACUGGUACAGGCAGUACAGACAGUACACACAGGUACAGACAGUACAGACAGGUACAGACAGGUACAGACAGGUACACACAGGUACAAACAGUACAGACAGGUACACAUAGGUACAGACAGUACAGACAGGUAGAGACAAGUACAGACAGGUACAGACAGUACAGACAAUACACACUGGUACAGGCAGUACACACUGGUACAGGCAGUACACACAGGUACAGACAGUACACACAGGUACAGACAGGUACAAACAGGUACACACAAGUACAGACAGUACACACAAUUACAGACAGUACAGACAGUACAGACAGGUAGAGACAGUACAGACAAUACACACUGGUACAGGCAGUACACACAGG